GACGUAGGAUGCAAGCGUUGUCCGGAUUUAUUGGGCGUAAAGAGUUCGUAGGCGGUUCGUUAAGUCUGAUGUUAAAGAUCGGGGCCCAACCCUGAGAGUGCAUUGGAUACUGGCGAACUGGAGUGCAGUAGAGGCGAGUGGAAUUCCCAGUGUAGCGGUGAAAUGCGUAGAUAUUGGGAAGAACACCGGUGGCGAAGGCGGGUCUCUGGGCAUCUCCUGACGCUGAGGCGCGAAAGCGUGGGGAGCAAACGGG
rnacentral:rRNA from 1 species